UGCACUAUAAAAGAUUGCUAGGAAUAAAAGAAUGUUCAAAAAUUUUAUUCCUUUUCAUCUUAUGACUAAGAAUAUGACAUUUUAGUAUUUAGUUCGUACAAUCAUAUUAUUUAGUUAUAUUAUUAAAGAUUAAGAAAAAUAUACAAUUAAUAUAUUUGUUUCUUUAAUUAAUUUUAGAUAAUGCUAUAAAAUUUUUAACAUCUGUUUAGAAAAAAAAGGAGAGAGAACAUAUUAAAGAGAGAGUAUAAUUACAGAAAUAGGAAGAAAGAUAGCGGAAAUUAGAGGGAGUAAGAGAGUUGAGAUUUUAGAAAAAGUGAGGGAGAGAAAUCUUAGCUUAGAGAGAGAAAGAGAAUUAAAAUUUAGAGAGAGAAAGAUAAGCUUAAAGAGAGAUAUGAGGUUAGAGAGUAAAGAAAAAUAACAUCAACUAGCCGACGGGUGGAGAAAAAGAAAAAGAUUAGACAUAUUAUGAUUACUCUAAUAUAAGGAUAACCAUCCACACUCGAAAGAAUAAAAUUAGUACUUUAGGAUAAAUUUGAUUUUCAAAUAAAUCUAACGUUACCAACUAAAUUACUUAGUGCGUUUAGCCAAACACCAUCAUAUUUUUUUUUAUUUCUAUUGAAUUACUAGAAAUCUUAAAAAGAUAGCGUGAACCAAACGCACCCAUAUAGUUAAAAUAAGUUUCUUAUUUAUGUGAGCACGUGU
rnacentral:lncRNA from 1 species